AGCGAACGCUGGCGGCAGGCCUAACACAUGCAAGUCGAACGAAGUCUUCGGACUUAGUGGCGGACGGGUGAGUAACACGUGGGAACGUGCCUUUAGGUUCGGAAUAACUCAGGGAAACUUGUGCUAAUACCGAAUGUGCCCUUCGGGGGAAAGAUUUAUCGCCUUUAGAGCGGCCCGCGUCUGAUUAGCUAGUUGGUGAGGUAAAGGCUCACCAAGGCGACGAUCAGUAGCUGGUCUGAGAGGAUGAUCAGCCACAUUGGGACUGAGACACGGCCCAAACUCCUACGGGAGGCAGCAGUGGGGAAUCUUGCGCAAUGGGCGAAAGCCUGACGCAGCCAUGCCGCGUGAAUGAUGAAGGUCUUAGGAUUGUAAAAUUCUUUCACCGGGGACGAUAAUGACGGCACCCGGAGAAGAAGCCCCGGCUAACUUCGUGCCAGCAGCCGCCGUAAAAC
rnacentral:rRNA from 1 species